rnacentral:misc_RNA from 1 species
GAUCAUUACUGAGUUUACGCUCUACAACCCUUUGUGAACAUACCUAUAACUGUUGCUUCGGCGGGUAGGGUCUCCGUGACCCUCCCGGCCUCCCGCCCCCGGGCGGGUCGGCGCCCGCCGGAGGAUAACCAAACUCUGAUUUAACGACGUUUCUUCUGAGUGGUACAAGCAAAUAAUCAAAACUUUUAACAACGGAUCUCUUGGUUCUGGCAUCGAUGAAGAACGCAGCGAAAUGCGAUAAGUAAUGUGAAUUGCAGAAUUCAGUGAAUCAUCGAAUCUUUGAACGCACAUUGCGCCCGCCAGCAUUCUGGCGGGCAUGCCUGUUCGAGCGUCAUUUCAACCCUCAAGCUCUGCUUGGUGUUGGGGCCCUACAGCUGAUGUAGGCCCUCAAAGGUAGUGGCGGACCCUCCCGGAGCCUCCUUUGCGUAGUAACUUUACGUCUCGCACUGGGAUCCGGAGGGACUCUUGCCGUAAAACCCCCAAUUUUCCAAAGGUUGACCUCGGAUCAGGUAGGAAUACCCGCUGAACUUAAGCAUAUCAAUAAGCGGAGGAAAAGAAACCAACAGGGAUUGCCUCAGUAACGGCGAGUGAAGCGGCAACAGCUCAAAUUUGAAAUCUGGCCCUAGGCCCGAGUUGUAAUUUGCAGAGGAUGCUUUUGGUGCGGUGCCUUCCAAGUUCCCUAGAACGGGACGCCAGAGAGGGUGAGAGCCCCGUACAGUUGGACACCAAGCCUUUGUAAAGCUCCUUCGACGAGUCGAGUAGUUUGGGAAUGCUGCUCAAAAUGGGAGGUAUAUUUCUUCUAAAGCUAAAUACCGGCCAGAGACCGAUAGCGCACAAGUAGAGUGAUCGAAAGAUGAAAAGCACUUUGAAAAGAGGGUUAAACAGCACGUGAAAUUGUUAAAAGGGAAGCGCUUGUGACCAGACUUGCGUCCGGUGAAUCACCCAGCUCUCGCGGCUGGGGCACUUCGCCGGCUCAGGCCAGCAUCAGCUCGCUGUCGGGGACAAAAGCUUCAGGAACGUAGCUCUCUUCGGGGAGUGUUAUAGCCUGUUGCAUAAUACCCUUCGGCGGGCU